rnacentral:rRNA from 1 species
CAGUAGCCACGGGAAUACAGAGGGUGCAAGCGUUAAUCGGAAUUACUGGGCGUAAAGCGCGCGUAGGUGGUUUGUUAAGUUGGAUGUGAAAGCCCCGGGCUCAACCUGGGAACUGCAUCCAAAACUGGCAAGCUAGAGUACGGUAGAGGGUGGUGGAAUUUCCUGUGUAGCGGUGAAAUGCGUAGAUAUAGGAAGGAACACCAGUGGCGAAGGCGACCACCUGGACUGAUACUGACACUGAGGUGCGAAAGCGUGGGGAGCAAACAGGAUUAGAUACCCCGGUAGUCCCUGUCUCUUAUAC